ACGAACGCUGGCGGCGUGCCUAAUACCUGCAAGUAGAACGCACAGUUUAUACCGUAGCUUGCUACACCAUAGACUGCGAGUUGCGAACGGGUGAGUAACGCGUAGGUAACCUGCCUGGUAGCGGGGGAUAACUAUUGGAAACGAUAGCUAAUACCGCAUAAUAUUAAUUAUUGCAUGAUAAUUAAUUGAAGGGUGCAAUUGCACCACUACCAGAUGGACCUGCGUUGUAUUAGCUAGUAGGUGAGGUAACGGCUCACCUAGGCGACGAUACAUAGCCGACCGGAGAGGGUGAGCGGCCACACUGGGACUGGGACACGGCCCAGACUCCUACGGGAGGCAGCAGUAGGGAAUCUUCGGCAAUGGACGAAAGUCUGACCGAGCAACGCCGCGUGAGUGAAGAAGGGUUUCGGAUCGUAAAGCUCUGUUGUAAGAGAAAAACGGGUGUGAGAGUGGAAAGUUCACACUGUGACGGUAUCUUACCAGAAAGGGACGGCUAACUACGUG
rnacentral:rRNA from 1 species